UUAAUCUUUGGAUAGUAAAAGUAGAAAACAUGAUUAUUUGGUUCAUGGUUGGAUCCAACCAAAUGAAACAACACAUAAAGUUGUAAUUAGUUGGUAAAUUGGAGUUCACGACGAAAAAAAGAAAGACUAUGGAAAUUCAAAUUUCACAACCCAACAAAAUAUCCCACACUCUUUCUUUUUCACGUCUUCUUCGAUUCGACUUUCAAUCCUUAUUAUCGACCAUGCACCACAAUGGCAUGUAGCAACUUAAUAAGGAAAUCCCGUUUGUGAAUCUAGAAGAAUUGGUUGAAGCAAAUAAAUGAUGGGCUUUGAUUCCAAGACAAAGUUGUGCAACAAGAUUGUUUGAAAUCAAUGAAGAAGAGUCUCCCAAGCUCAAAUGGAUGGAAUAGAAAUAGAUUGAGAAGAAAUGAGAAAUAUAUGGAGGGAAUUAUGCAGAUAUUGGAGUUUAUCUUGAGCGUGGGAAGAAAUUGGACACAGAUAGUAGUACUAGAGGCGCUGAUAAUAGUUAUAAAGGAUAUCAAGGUUACUUGGCAUUUUAAGAUGAGGAUACCAAAAGUAAUAACAGAUAACUUUCCGGAAACUUAGUAACAUAUGGAUUAUCAAUUAUGCAACAAUCUUUCAACUUUACGGGGAACAAAACCACCGAUAGAUAAUCGGCUGUUACAAAUUCUCUAAUUCGCAAUGAUUUCACUGUACAAUUUUAUAUAUGAAAUAGCGCAAGGUAGUAAGGGGGUAAAGGCCUAAUGGUUUUCAAUAAAAAAAUAUGGGCGCCAUUUGUUACAGUUGCAAUCGCACAUGUAAUGUUAAAUGUAAUUUAUGUUUAGUCGUACUGUAAGGGAUUGCAUUUGAUUCCAAUAUUUUAUGCUUGCAUGUUUGUAUACUGUA